rnacentral:rRNA from 1 species
GGGGGGGGGGGGGGGGGGGGGGGGGGCGGGGGGGGCGGGCGGGCGGGGGGGGAGCUUGCUUCUCUGAGGUUAGCGGCGGACGGGGGAGUAACACGUGGAUAACCUCCCUAUAAGACGGGGAUACCUUCGGGAAACCGGGGCUACUACCGGCUACUCUUUUGAACCGCAUGGUUCAAAAGUGAAAGCCGGUCUUGCUGUCCCUUCUAGAUGGAUCCGCGCUGCAUUAGCUAGUUGGUAAGGUACCGGCUUCCCAAGGCAACGAUGCAUAGCCGACCUGAGAGGGUGAUCGGCCACACUGGAACUGAGACACGGUCCAGACUCCUACGGGAGGCAGCAGUAGGGAAUCUUCCGCAAUGGGCGAAAGCCUGACGGAGCAACGCCGCGUGAGUGAUGAAGGUCUUCGGAUCGUAAAACUCUGUUAUUAGGGAAGAACAUAUGUGUAAGUAACUGUGCACAUCUUGACGGUACCUAAUCAGAAAGCCACGGCUAACUACGUG